rnacentral:tRNA from 1 species
GGUUUGCGGGUUUUCAGGCCUUGAAUGGGGUUCAAGAGGCCGCAGGUUCGACUCCUGUCACUCGGACCA